CCUACGGGGGGCAGCAGUGAGGAAUAUUGGUCAAUGGGCGAGAGCCUGAACCAGCCAAGUCGCGUGAGGGAGUACUGCCCUAUGGGUUGUAAACCUCUUUUGUCGGGGAGCAAAAGCCGGACGUGUCCGGCUUUGAGAGUACCCGAAGAAAAAGCAUCGGCUACCUCCGUGCCAGCAGCCGCGGUAAUACGGAGGAUGCGGGCGUUAUCCGGAUUUAUUGGGUUUAAAGGGUGCGCAGGCGGAUUGUUAAGUCCGCGGUCAAAUCGUGGGGCUCAACCCCAUCCAGCCGUGGAAACUGGGGAACUAGAGUGAGCGAGAGGUAUGCGGAAUGCGUAGUGUAGCGGUGAAAUGCAUAGAUAUCACGCAGAACCCCGAUUGCGAAGGCAGCAUACCGGUGCACAACUGACGCUCAGGCACGAAAGCGUGGGUAGCGAACAGGAUUAGAUACCCUUGUAGUC
rnacentral:rRNA from 1 species